UCCGUAGGUGAACCAGCGGAGGGAUCAUUACAGAGUUAUCCAACUCCCAAACCCAUGUGAACUUAUCUCUUUGUUGCCUCGGCGCAAGCUACCCGGGACCUCGCGCCCCGGGGGGCCCGCCGGCGGACAAACCAAACUCUGUUAUCUUCGUUGAUUAUCUGAGUGUCUUAUUUAAUAAGUCAAAACUUUCAACAACGGAUCUCUUGGUUCUGGCAUCGAUGAAGAACGCAGCGAAAUGCGAUAAGUAAUGUGAAUUGCAGAAUUCAGUGAAUCAUCGAAUCUUUGAACGCACAUUGCGCCCAUUAGUAUUCUAGUGGGCAUGCCUGUUCGAGCGUCAUUUCAACCCCUAAGCACAGCUUAUUGUUGGGACUCUACGGCUUCGUAGUUCCCCAAAGACAUUGGCGGAGUGGCAGCAGUCCUCUGAGCGUAGUAAUUCUUUAUCUCGCUUUUGUUAGGCGCUGCCCCCCCGGCCGUAAAACCCCCAAUUUUUUCUGGUUGACCUCGGAUCAGGUAGGAAUACCCGCUGAACUUAAGCAUAUCAAUAAGCGGAGGAAAAGAAACCAACAGGGAUUCCCCUAGUAACUG
rnacentral:rRNA from 1 species